GAUGAAGAACGUAGCGAAAUGCGAUACGUAGUGUGAAUUGCAGAAUUCAGUGAAUCAUCGAAUCUUUGAACGCACAUUGCACCUCUCGGUAUUCCGGGAGGUAUGCCUGUUCGAGCGUCAUUUGUACCCUCAAGCUCUGCUUGGUGUUGGGUGUUUGUUCCGCCUCUGUGUGUGAACUCGCCUCAAAACAAUUGGCAGCCAGCGUACUUGUUUCGGAGCGCAGCACAUUUUGCGAUCCAGAUCAACGUACAGCGGCAUCCAAGAAGCCUUAUUUAACGCUCUUGACCUCGGAUCAGGUAGGGAUACCCGCUGAACUUAAGCAUAUCAAUAAGCGGAGGA
rnacentral:misc_RNA from 1 species